rnacentral:rRNA from 1 species
GACGGAGGAUGCAAGUGUUAUCCGGAAUCACUGGGCGUAAAGCGUCUGUAGGUUGUUUAAAAAGUCUGCAGUUAAAGGUUGAAGCUUAACUUCAAAAAUGCCGUAGAAACUUUUAAACUAGAGGAUGGUAGGGGUAGAGGGAAUUUCCAGUGGAGCGGUGAAAUGUGUAGAUAUUGGAAAGACCACCGAUGGCGAAGGCACUCUACUGGGCCAUGACUGACACUGAGAGACGAAAGCUAGGGAGCAAAUGGG